rnacentral:rRNA from 1 species
AUGACCUCAAAUCUAGGUGCAGAGCACCUAAUUGCAGGAAUUCGGGGUGAAAACACAAUGAAAGAUGCACGAGACCUUCUAAUGAAAAAGGUACAUCAAUAUUUCAAGCCAGAGCUUCUGAACAGGUUAAGCCAGAUUGUUGUGUUUGACCCGUUUUCGCAUGAUCAACUAAUGGAGGUUGUGAAAAUCCAAAUGAAGAGAGCCACCACCAGGGUAGCAAAAAAGGGCAUAUCUUUAUCUGUGAGUGACGGCGCAUUGGACGUCAUUUUGUCAGAGUCAUACAACCCAAUGUAUGGUGCAAGGCCCAUAAGAAGCUGGGUAGAAUAA